rnacentral:lncRNA from 1 species
CGUUUUAAGGUUAAUAGUGCGUGCCACUUACACUAGAGCUUCACAGAGAAGCAGUCUCUCGAGGUUGGUUACUUGCUGUUAGAAUCUGCAGUCUGCCUUUCUGCUGCACGGAUGCGAAUUUAGAAGGUUUUGCGGCUACGGGGCGUGGAGUGCUGGACCUGCCAACACCCAGGGUGCAUAUGGAACUGGUGUGGCCAGCUGGCAAGGUUAUGAAAACUACAAUUACUACGGCGCCCAGAACACCAGUGUCACCACAAGCGCAACCUACAGCUACGGCCCAGCCUCGUGGGAGGCCGCCAAGGCCAAUGAUGGCGGCCUGGCGGCCGGGGCCCCUGCCAUGCACAUGGCCUCUUACGGCCCAGAGCCAUGCACCGACAAUUCCGACUCCCUCAUUGCCAAGAUAAACCAGCGUUUGGACAU